AGUGAACGCUGGCGGUAGGCCUAACACAUGCAAGUCGAACGGCAGCACAGUAAGGGCUUGCUCUUACGGGUGGCGAGUGGCGGACGGGUGAGGAAUACAUCGGAAUCUACUUUUUCGUGGGGGAUAACGUAGGGAAACUUACGCUAAUACCGCCUACGGCCUACGGGUGAAAGCAGGGGAUCUUCGGACCUUGCGCGAUUGAAUGAGCCGAUGUCGGAUUAGCUAGUUGGCGGGGUAAAGGCCCACCAAGGCGACGAUCCGUAGCUGGUCUGAGAGGAUGAUCAGCCACACUGGAACUGAGACACGGUCCAGACUCCUACGGGAGGCAGCAGUGGGGAAUAUUGGACAAUGGGCGCAAGCCUGAUCCAGCCAUACCGCGUGGGUGAAGAAGGCCUUCGGGUUGUAAAGCCCUUUUGUUGGGAAAGAAAAGCAGCAGGUUAAUACCCCGCUGUUCUGACGGUACCCAAAGAAUAAGCACCGGCUAACUUCGUG
rnacentral:rRNA from 1 species